UGGGGAAUCUUCCGCAAUGGACGAAAGUCUGACGGAGCAACGCCGCGUGAGUGAAGAAGGUUUUCGGAUCGUAAAACUCUGUCUUUUGGGGCGAACGUGAGUAUGGUGAACAAUCAUAGUCAGUGACGGUACCAAAGGAGGAAGCCACGGCUAACUACGUGCCAGCAGCCGCGGUAAUACGUAGGUGGCAAGCGUUGUCCGGAAUUAUUGGGCGUAAAGAGCGCGUAGGCGGGAUAGUCAGUCUGUUGUAAAGUGCGGGCUCAACCCCGUGAUGGCAAUGGAAACAGCUAUUCUUGAGUGCAGGAGAGGAAAGGUGGAAUUCCCAGUGUAGCGGUGAAAUGCGUAGAUAUUGGGAGGAACACCAGUGGCGAAGGCGACUUUCUGGACUGUGUCUGACGCUGAGGCGCNAAAGCCAGGGGGAGCGAACCGGGGAUUAGAUACCCCCGGUUAGUCCUGGCCGUAAACGAUGGGUACUAGGUGUGGGAGGUAUCGACCCCCUUUCCGUGCCGGAGUUAACGCAAUAAGUACCCCCGCCUGGGGAGUACGGUUCGCAAGACUGAAACGUCAAAGGAA
rnacentral:rRNA from 1 species